CUGGUCAGUAAACUCAACUGGAGGGGAGGAGAUUACACCAGCAUGUGAGUACCAAGAAGGGGACCAUCCGGAGCCAUCUUGGAGGCUGCCUACCACACCUUACUUAAAAACAGACAAGAGUCAGAAUCUCUUCACUUCAUCUGCUUUUCAUGAGAGUGAAACAGUGUUACCUGUAGCAAUACAGGGCCUCAGUCUGAUGUCGAAGAUUUUCCUGAGAUCUCCUACAGACAGAAGGAAUAUGGAAGACAUUUUCCCCAGAAUAGCAACUACAAUAAUUCUAUAAGAUGAUCUUAUCCUGCUAAGAGUAUUAACAAGAAAAAUCACUAAUAGGAAAAUUAAGAGACAUUCAUUACAAAAGUGAUUACUCAAACUCAAAUACAGUUAUCUCAUUUCUCAAAGAAAAGUCUAAAAACCCAGAGAAUUAAAAUCAGAGUUUUUGAGGCAGUUUCCAUAACUCCAUCAUUUCCAGCAGGGAGAAAAAUCAGAGGUGAACCACACCUGGUUCUCUGGGGACAUUUGCUCUGGGGGAAGCCAGCUACCAUGUAAGAAGCACAAUUUCCCUGGGACUGAUUGUAAAGGCCAGAGGUAGGCCUUCUGAAGGGAAGCCUUACUGAGCUCUCAGCCACCGGCCAGCCACAAUGAGCAGUCACAUGAGUGAAUGACUUGGAAGUCCAGCUCUGUUCAGCAUGCUGAUGUCUGACAUCUGCCUGCAACUGCAUGAAAGAUUCCAAUUACCCCCAGUCAAUCACAGAUAUCAUCUGCUCCUGACAUCCAACCAUCCACACCGUCAAGGCUCGAUGAUGCUCCUUCUGACAUAUCGUCAGAAGGCCAAUAGUAGCCUCAUGCUAUCAUAACACCUCCAUCAUUCACGUUACUUCGUCUCAUCAUGUAGGCAUUGUAUCAUCUCACAACAUCGCAAGAAGAAGGAAGUUGCAAGUCACUCAAGGGAAAGCAGAAUUCAAGAAGUGGAUGUCACAAAGCCGACACUGAAAGUGUAAUACUUGGUACCAACCAGGUUUUUGAAGCCAUCAAUGAAGAAAACCCAGACACAGCAUUUGAACUGACACAGACACACACACCCCCCAAAACAAACUUCUAGGAGCAAAACAAAAUAAGUCCACUCUAGUUUGAAAUUUCUUAAUAAAGGGGUUAUUCGCAUAAAUUUUCACAUGCUUACC
rnacentral:lncRNA from 1 species